ACUUACUACCCACCCUGGAAACGGGGUGGCACAGUUAUAAUAGUGAGGAUGUACCAAUGGACAAUCCGCAGCGAAGGCCCUACAGCGCAAGCUACGGGCACCGUUCACAGACUAAGUGAUUGUGGGUAGCGUGCUACUUAAGAUAUAGUCGAGCCGCGACCGAAAGGUCUCGGGGUACUACGUCCGUAGGUGAACCUGCGGAAGGAUCAUUA
rnacentral:rRNA from 1 species